rnacentral:rRNA from 1 species
UACGGAGGAUGCGAGCGUUAUCCGGAUUUAUUGGGUUUAAAGGGUGCGUAGGCGGUCCGUUAAGUCAGCGGUAAAAUUGCGGGGCUCAACCCCGUCGAGCCGUUGAAACUGGCAGACUUGAGUUGGCGAGAAGUACGCGGAAUGCGCGGUGUAGCGGUGAAAUGCAUAGAUAUCGCGCAGAAUUCCGAUUGCGAAGGCAGCGUACCGGCGCCAGACUGACGCUGAGGCACGAAAGCGUAGGGAUCGAACAGG